AGUGUCUUGUCAAAAAUUAUUUUGUUCUUUUUCACGAUAUUUUUGUAGAAAUACUCGUACUUAGUAGCUUUUUUGAUAAAAUUAUCCUCCUGGAACUCUGUUAUGUCUAUUAAAGCGGAGAGAUAUUUUGAUGAUUAUACAGGAGAAAAUGGUAUUUAAGCUAGAAGAUGGAGCAUUUCUCUUAUAUGAUAAAGGUUCGUGCAAGUUUAAUUAUGUUACCAAGGAGUGAACCAUGGAAUCACGUGAAUAAAAACGACAAAUAAACUGCAUUCACUGAAAUAAUUUUUGUUAAAGCGAGAUAC